rnacentral:rRNA from 1 species
UACGAAGGGGGCUAGCGUUGUUCGGAAUCACUGGGCGUAAAGCGCACGUAGGCGGAUAUGUCAGUCAGGGGUGAAAUCCCGGGGCUCAGCCUCGGAACUGCCUUUGAUACAGCAUAUCUUGAGUCCGAUAGAGGUGGGUGGAAUUCCUAGUGUAGAGGUGAAAUUCGUAGAUAUUAGGAAGAACACCGGUGGCGAAGGCGGCCCACUGGAUCGGUACUGACGCUGAGGUGCGAAAGCGUGGGGAGCAAACAGG